UGCUGCUCCCAAAAGCCUGCCUAGAUGGCAGUAUCCACUCAUGUAACCUGUACUCAAGGAUGGCGGCUGUUUAAAGUGCAUGUUAUGGAAAAAUGACAUAGAGUUCUAAAUUGGACAGGAAGCUGAGUACUGGCUGAAAACAGAAAUUGAGUUUAUGAUGCCUGCGGAUGCACUCUUCUUGCAGUGUUUGUGAGCUCUGCCAUGCCUGAGCCGCUGCUAGUUCCAGUUUUGUGUGGUCUCAGGCAGUUCUGAGGGUUUUUCAGGAAGGGGACAACCUAGAUAUGUUUGAAGUUUUGGUCUGAUUUCUGCAGCAGACAGGGGGAAGGUGCCCCUGGCAGGACCCACAGCUGCAAGGUAGUGCUGUAGGCUUUCCCCUGCCACCCAGCC